GUGUCAGCCGCCGCGGUAAUACAGAGGGUGCGAGCGUUAAUCGGAAUUACUGGGCGUAAAGCGCGCGUAGGUGGUUUUGUAAGUCGGGUGUGAAAGCCCCGGGCUCAACCUGGGAACUGCAUCCGAGACUGGAAGACUAGAGUAUGGGAGAGGGCAGUGGAAUUUCCGGUGUAGCGGUGAAAUGCGUAGAUAUCGGAAGGAACAUCAGUGGCGAAAGCGACUGCCUGGCCCAAUACUGACACUCAUGUGCGAAAGCGUGGGGAGCAAACAGGAUUAGAAACCCUCGUAGUCC
rnacentral:rRNA from 1 species